AUUGGUGGAACUUAUGCCAAACCAGUGAUACUACCUCCUGAAGUAGCUAUUGGAGCAGUUGGAAAGAUACAGGUUCUUCCUCGGUUUAAUGGAAAAGGUGAAGUAUUUAAAGCACAGAUAAUGAAUGUGAGUUGGUCAGCUGAUCACCGCAUCAUUGAUGGAGCUACAAUGGCCCGGUUUUCUAACUUGUGGAAAUCUUACUUGGAGAACCCUGCUUCGAUGCUGCUAGACCUUAAAUAAAGGAAACCAUGGCUUGAAAUGUCCAUGGCUUUAAACUUUGUGGAUUAGACUGAAUAAUUAUAAAAGCUGGCUCUGCUAGCACAUGCCCUUUGCUACUCAUAUGAUAUAUAAUUUUGUGUGGUUAAAAGUUCUCAAGAGCUGGUAUCAAUCUAUCAGUUAGUUGUUACUUCUUUUAAUUAUUAGUGCUGUAAUUUCUUCUACAGCGGACUGUCAAACUGAAUAGGUCAUGGUGCGACUUCUGAAUACGGUGAUGGAAUGUCUUUAUUUUGCCUUUUAUAAUACAUAUGGUUGUGAGGCUGGUGUGACUGAAUGACAGUGAUUUACAUUUGCAGUAUUUAUAACCUGAUUAACCUGUUUUGAAGGGAAAUACUCAUAGUUCUUCCUUGUUGGACACGUAAAUUUAUUUUAACAAAUAAUAUCCAAAUUUCCAAAAGAAGUUAUGCAAAAAUCAUAUACAAAUAAAAUGCCUUUUAUGCUUCUGC